UAGGGAAUCUUCGGCAAUGGGGGCAACCCUGACCGAGCAACGCCGCGUGAGUGAAGAAGGUUUUCGGAUCGUAAAGCUCUGUUGUAAGUCAAGAACGGGUGUGAGAGUGGAAAGUUCACACUGUGACGGUAGCUUACCAGAAAGGGACGGCUAACUACGUGCCAGCAGCCGCGGUAAUACGUAGGUCCCGAGCGUUGUCCGGAUUUAUUGGGCGUAAAGCGAGCGCAGGCGGUUUGAUAAGUCUGAAGUUAAAGGCUGUGGCUCAACCAUAGUUCGCUUUGGAAACUGUCAAGCUUGAGUGCAGAAGGGGAGAGUGGAAUUCCAUGUGUAGCGGUGAACUGCGUAGGUAUAUGGAGGAACACCGGUGGCGAAAGCGGCUCUCUGGUCUGUAACUGACGCUGAGGCUCGAAAGCGUGGGGAGCGAACAGG
rnacentral:rRNA from 1 species